rfam:Triticum aestivum genome assembly, contig: Triticum_aestivum_CS42_TGACv1_scaffold_602960_7DL
CAUGUACUCCCUCCGUCCUGAAUUACUUGUCACGGAAAUGGAUGUUUCUAGACGUAUUUUAGUUCUAGAUACAUCCAUUUUUAUCUGUUUUGCGACAAGUAAUUUCAGACAGAGGGAGUAAUUA